rnacentral:ncRNA from 1 species
CUUCAGGUGUCCCAUGCACGGCAUGGGGUUAAACGGGAAGCCGGUGCGUCAUCCCAGAUGAUCAGUCCGGCGCUGCCCCCGCAACGGUAAGCGAGCGAAGCAUUCGAAGGACCACUGUGCCUCGGCAUGGGAAGGUGAAUGGCUUCAUGACCCUCGCGAGCCCGGAGACCGGCCUGAAGGU